ACACCAAAAAUACUUGAAAUAUCUAUUGAUUUUCUAUCCAAAUAUUCAAACCAACCAAUUUACAUGUUAAUUUAUGUAUUUUGACAUAUGUUAUUCAAAUUUAUAUGUAAUAUAUUAUUUUGGUUAUAGAUUUUGAGAAAUUUUAAACAUAUAAUAUAAUGAAUUUUAAUUUUUUUUUAAAUAAUUUAAAUGGUUUAUCCGAAUCUGAACUGAAUCCGUAAAGAUCCGAACCGAGCCGGAAUAGGUAUCCGAACAUCCAUCCCUAUAACCAGUGGUAAAAAGAGCCAUGAGUGAUAAAAAUGAGCCACCGAUCACUGGAACCUAAUUAUUUUUAUCAAAAUGUUCUUAGAGAGAGGUCGGAGAAAUUCUAGAGAGAAAUUAAAUAUUUAGAUCUAAAAUUCAAUGAAAUUUUUUUUCACUCAAAAAUUAAUAUACAACACCUUUAAUCAUUUAUUCAAUAAUUUGGUGCAGACAAGAUAACAAUAAGAUAAAAUAAAAUAAAAUCAAAUCUAUCAUCAUCAUCAUCAUCAAUACAAUACUAAAAGGGGAAUAAGGGCUCCCCUCAUGCUUCCACGUCCUCAAUAAUAAUCAGCCAAUAGGGUGUCUUUUUUUCUCCACGUCAUCUAUAAAUCGGGGCCAGGCUUUUGGGAUCUUCGAUCUCCGUAAAUCAGUUCUCUGCGCCUCAUAUACAGCCCAGGUGAAAAACACUUGACAAACCCUAAUCCUCUAAAACGUCCAUCUACUCACUCAUUCCAUUCAAUCUGUCUUCUCAGUUUCAUCUUCUUUGUAAUUAAUCAAGCAGUUGAGUAAUUUAUUUUGAGAGGGAGAGAAACAGGCGAUCGAUUAGGGUUUGUGUUCAUCGGAAAUUUCUAUAACGAUCGGAGGCAUGAGCUCGACGGGGAAUCUGAUAACGUCAAUCCAGGGCCUAUCAGCGAGCUCCGGGGACUUAUCCGCACUCCACCGUAUUCUCAAAGGAGCUGAGGAGACGCUCCGAGCCGAUUCGGAUCUUGAACUCUCUACUCUCGAACAGCUCGAACCUUUAUUGGACUGGAAAUGCUCAUCAUUGACAAACAGAGCACAAUAGCACAAUGAUGCACGGGUCCGUCCCAUCAAGCAGUGUUCAAAUACUUGCAUCAAACCAUGAAAGAUUUACAGCCUUUGUGGACUGAAAGAUUUUGUUGGCCACGUGAAGGUGGUGAAUGGACAGCUCCCAUCCUUGACGAAGUGGAAAUAGCAAACACACGGCGUCUUAUGAUGAAUGAAUGGUACCUGUUAUGAAGCUGUACUUUUGGGACAAGACUGCAACAGAUUUCUGCAAGAAAUUCAUAUCCUAUGAAAACACUCCCACCAUGCUUUAACUACUAUUAACACAAAACGUCUUGGAGGUAAUAAUUCCUCUCUUUAGAUAGCUAACUCACUGCUAAUGUUUUUGCAGCAUUUAGUUUUUUGCAUGUUUCGACCCUCUUCCUCUUUGUAGUCUAUGCUUUCAUUGGAUCAAAUUUCUUUGAAUGAUUAUUGUUUCUCUAUAGUAUUAAUUCCUCUCUUUAGCUUCUCUUGCAUUGGUUUGUCUUAAGUUUUGAUAUCAAUUGUGUGAUUUUUAUCAUCUGCGAUAAAGCUGAAAAGAAGUGGCGUACUUUAGCUACCUUUCCUUUGCUUAUAAUUAUAUUCUUUUAGUUGAGUAUGAAACCAAGAAUUUCAACUAAUCUGUGGUUUGGUUCAUGCUACAUGUUUUUUUGUUCUGAACUAUUUUAGUUUGCUUUCUUAGGUUGUUCUAUAAAUCGUUUCCUUUCUGUAAUUGUGCAUUGUCUCAACACUUUCAAACACAUGCUGAAAGAAGUAGCUAUCUAUGUACUCAGUAGGUUUGAUGGUAACUUCUGUUAAUUUUCAAAGGCGGAGCAUUGCGCUUAUGCAUAAAUGAUUUACAAGUUUUUGGAGGUUCAUGACAUUGGAAAGACACAUGCUUCGUACUAUAUAGUUUAUGCUUUGCACAUGGAUUCUAAGGUGGAAAACGCCACUGAGAUCUUCAGUCUCAGAAUAUCUAGAAAGGCAAAGUCUAUGGAAAAGUUGAAUGAUUCUUACAAAAAUUCAUGGUGAGAGCUAUGAGAAGAUCCAAACAGCUGAUGAAGUAAGAUACUUAAUGUUUCUACCUACCAGGAGGAUCCAAAAGAGAAUGACCUCUGUCAAGAAGUUGUGGCACUAUAUUGUCUAGGGGAGAUAAUCGAUAAUAAAAGAACGUUUGGAUCAGAAGCCAAAAACCCAAAGCCGAAAUUCUCAUUCAUGGCACCUUCUCCUAUGUACACUGACACUACAUGCUUGGAGGUAGAACACAAAUGAUCAACAGGAACACCAUUGUACGGAUCCACUUGUGGGAGGAGAAUGGUGGAGGAUAUUUUCACCAGCUGCAUUUGAACAUAGAAGAGAGAAAUAGAUCAGGAGGGAGACGGUCCCACCUACCGGCCGAAUUCUCAAGUGUGCCAAUACCAGGGGAGAAAAUGAGUGUGAGACUGAGAGUCGGAAUAUUUUAGCACUUACGGAUCAUAUCAAUUUUCAAAGCUAGGAUCAUACAAAAAAAGGAGUCGUAACUGAGCUAUACACUCCUAGGAAAUGGUCCGCCUCAAACAAAUUGAUCACCUUAAAGGAUCAUUGCUUCUGUUAGUCUUCCAUAGUUGUAUUUAGCAAAAAGUAUGAUUGUGUUUAUCUUUCAACGUUUUCAUUUUUUGAAACAUAACUAUGAUACUAAAAAUGUUUGUACAAGUAGUUGUUUCUAAAUAAUUAUUAGUAUAAAACAGCGGUGGAUAUGAAACUAUUUUACUAAAUUCUUUUUCAUGUUCCACCGUCUGUCUUAUUUAUCACUUAUCAGUCGUACUCAUGUAUCUAUAGUACUAUUUUUUUUCAUCUGAUCACUUUUGUUUACUUGAAACUAUUAUAAUUACUAACGUAUUUCUAUGGUUUUACCCGAGCAUAAAAGUUUCAACUGUA